GGAGGAGGAGGCUGCAAACAGGGAUGCGACACAAGGACUUCCCACGAUGUCACCUAGAAAGAAUUCUCUUGCCCAAGUAUGCUUAACUUUGGAGUUCUGAUGCGUUCCGGUAUAUUAGUUCUGGACACAGCUCAAAUCAAAGGCACUCAGAAGCAUAAUUCAAGAUGAGGGAAUGGCAGAGGUCAACACAAAAGAAGACAGCAAACACGAGACACCAACAAUAAGCAUAAUUCAGGAUGAGGGAAUAACAAAAAUGUUUUGGCGGUACUAUUAGAGAUCAAAUGGGUAACUACAAGUUCACCUAUUCGGGGCCAUGUGGACAUACAACAGUGAACGAAACUAAGGCAAAAGCUUUCUCGGAAGGUUUAAAAAUAAUAAAGAAUCUUGAAGGCCAAAAGAUGAUUGAAGAUGAUUCAAGCAAUAUCAUUGCUUGGGCAAAAGGAGAAAUGAAACCAUCUUGGAGAUUAUGCAGGAUUUUUGACGAAAUUUUUUUUUUCAUUUUAAGUUAUCUUAUUGUUUUAGAGAAGCUAAUAUGGAAG